AUAUAUUAUCCGUUAUUAUUUUGAUGGAGAAUAUAUCGCAUGAAAAUCAUGAAUCGCCCAACUAUUGGGCCUCAUGGCAUUAAUCUCGAAGAAAAUCAUUUCUGGCCUUGGCCCGAAAAAAGUUGAAAUCGCCGGGAUUUGUUCGAUCACAAUUCACACAGCCAAUUGAAUAGCGCGCCUUCUGUGUCUGCAAUGAAAGAAGCGAAAGAGAUCCAGUUUAAGGUGUUUACAGUGGUGGAGUAUUGAUGGAUAACUGAUGCCAUUGUUCCGGAGUUGUAAUUCUUCUUAAUCAGCAGAAACCGAAUCCGGUAAUUCUAUUUUGAUCUCAUUAGUUUAAUGUUAUGGAUGAAUUUAUGAAACAAUUUGGAUUCGUUAUUGCUGUGAUUACUACUAGAAGAACUAAGGAAGCAAUUAAAAGAAGCUGAUAUGGGAAUUUCAGUAUUGUAAACCUCAAUUUUUAUAGAGCUGAGAUGCUCCUGCUGGAAAUUCCUUUAACUAACUCUAAGCUAGCGUUUGACCAUAGAUUUUGGGAGUAAGUUAUUGAAAUUCAUCUUCAAAUAUAUAUUUGAUCACGAAAUUUGAUUAUAUUUGAAGAACUGAUCUACAAAGACCAGUUUUCGGAUUUCCACUACAAAACUUAAAAUUUUUUCCAAGUAGAAUGCAUGUCCAAGCACAACUUCAAAAACUCAAAAUUUGAAGUUUCAAGUUUUAACUUCAUACUCCAGGGAUCAAGUGUAAUAGAUAAACUUUUUAGGUAUUUUGAAACUGUGGUAGGAGUAAGGUCACUUUAGGGGACUCUACUGUGCAGCUUUAUUGCAAUGGAGAACACUUGAGUAACACAUUGGGGAAAUUCUUUUAGCAUUUCUACCCCUUGAUUCUCCCUUAUUAUCACCAGAAUGACACUUGGUUUGGCCACGUGUCUAAAUGAACGGGGAAUAGAGGUCAAUCCGAUCCAUGAAUUCAGCCCAGAAUGAUGUUAACCUUUAGGAUUGUGAAGUUGAAAAUGAGAUCCACUUGACAUAUUCCUUAUAAGUUUGAUUGUAGCUGAUGGCAUAAAAUCCUGUGCAGUGGCAUUGCCAUGAUUUUGCUUAAGUAGUGUCAGCCUAUUGUCUGGAUAUCGGGUUGUGGGAAUUCUAAAGCUUUACCUCAUGUCCCAAGUUUAUUGAAGCGGUUGGAUUCUGCAAUUACAUAUUGUUUCUAUUCACACACACACAAACUCACUCUCUCUCUAUGUGUCUUCGCCGCUGGUUCUAUGAUCAUCUUCCAUAGUACAUCUUAGCGGAUUUAAAUUUUGAUGGUCAGGCGGAAAUUUGACGUCAUAGACUUCAUUCAACGACAUUUCCUCUUGAUCUUCACCCUGCUCCUCUUUAACUGACUUGCCAUCAUCCUUCCCAACAUUCUCUUCUAUAUCCUCCUUCAUUUCCAUAAACAAUGUCGAGGUGUUUGGGCUCGUAUCGAUGCCCCAGAAAGUACUUUUAGCUUCUGUUUACAUAGUAGAUUGUAUGUGAGGUAACAGAAAGUUGAAAGGUUUGUCGAUGGAAGACUAGAUGGCUUGGGAUAGCUGUGGAGCUCUGUGUUAGGUGCUUGGUUUCAGGCUAUUUAUUGGAAAGAAGCUGGAUUAUGGAGUAGAAUUGUGUUUAUCGGAUUGAUGGAUUUCAUGCUACUUGCCUGCUUCAUACACAGCUGUAAGAGUUGUAGGAUGCUUAUAGCAAUGAUACAUUCCUCAUGCUACUUGGCUACUUCAUACACAUCUGUAAGAGUUGUAGGAUGCUUAUAGCAAUGAUACAUUCCUCAUGCUACUUGGCUACUUCAUACACAUCUGUAAGAGUUGUAGGAUGCUUAUAGCAAUGAUACAUUCCUCAUGCUACUUGGCUACUUCAUACACAUCUGUAAGAGUUGUAGGAUGCUUAUAGCAAUGAUACAUUCCUCAUGCUACUUGGCUACUUCAUACACAUCUGUAAGAGUUGUAGGAUGCUUAUAGCAAUGAUACAUUCCUCAUGCUACUUGGCUACUUCAUACACAUCUGUAAGAGUUGUAGGAUGCUUAUAGCAAUGAUACAUUCCUCAUGCAACUUGGCUACUUAAUGCACAUCUAUAAAACUUUUAGGAAUAAUAUCCUAGGAAUUAAUCUCUAAUGAAAUAUGAAUUUCACUCCGCCAUUGCAGUUGAAAGAUAAUUUCAAUUGUACAAACCUCUGAUUCAAAAUGUUAUGGUUUGCACAACUAACCAGCCAUUAGAAGAAGGAAAAUAAAUCUAGAAGGAAUGAAAAGUUAUUAGAAAUAAGGAAGAAGUUUAGAGGAGCAAAAAAAGAGCUAAAAUGGGGUUCAGAUAUGGAUUUCAAUGCUUUCCAUUGAGAUGUCCCUGCUGGAUAUUCCUCUUACUGACUCUAACAAACUAACAAAAAUGCAAACUGACUCUCCCCUUAAACAUUUUGCAGCUUAGCAUCCAUCGCAUCACAACAGUGACCAAGCUAUUGAGUUAGGGGCAUAUAUAGAUUGAUAGCAUAACAUAUGACAAUAUUAAACCUUUUUCAAUAGUAGAGAGGCAAAUAUGACCCUUUCUCUAAAAUAUAAACAGAAGACUUCUCCUUUCUCCAAGAAGAAACAAAAUGACAGACCAUAGACAAAACUCAGAGCCUGAGCAGAAAAAAUAUAUUCUUGCUUUUUCCCAAAAGAGAACUGAAAGGAAAUAAAAGAUACGGGCAGUCAAACUUGUUUGCCAAAUUUUUUUAUUUUUUAUUUAAAAAAAAAGAAAGAUAGAGUAACCAUGAAGACCACUGUUUCUUGUGCUUCGUCCAACUCUGAUAGUUGAUGAUCUUCUCACGUCAUUUAUUCUCAGUUGUUGUGUUUUUUGAUUGUAGUCUCAAGAGUACAUCUCUUUUACUCUUGCAGGAUAUUUCUUUUUCUCUUGGAUUCUAAAUUCUUGUUUUAUUCCUUACUUGAGGUGUGCGCUUAUUGAUCGCUUGUGUGCCGCACCUCGCCUGAAGUGUGGUAGGCGCCAUUCUGUUCUUUGCAUUGCCUCAGGACCUGAAUCUUGCCUUUGUUUUCAUUAGAGGCAUGAAAUGCUCAAAGUGUAAUGUUCUUAAAUUUGAUUUGUCCCAGCUCCUAUAUUUAACAAACUAUAUGUUGUAUUUUGUUUGACAGAUAUAAUAGGUGUUAUACAUCAAAUUAUACGCACAUCAUUGCUUAUUUUUUUACAAAUAGUUUAGAUAUACAUGAAAACAGGUCUAGUAGUACAACUUAUAUCUAUAGUUGUACAUAUACAUGUUGUACAACUAGGACUUAUUUUCAUAGCUGCUUCGCUUCGGGUUGGCGGUAUGGUGGGAUGUUAUAUUGAAUAUGUUUCAUACAUUCUCGAAAAGUAUUUCUUUUUUAUUCAUUUCGACAUGCUCCACUGGUGCUUUAAAGUUUUUGGAUUUGUUUCUGCUGUGGGUUCUUCUAUUUUCU
rnacentral:lncRNA from 1 species